CGCCUGGCGUGUCGUCGGUGCAGAUCUUGUUGUGGUCGGUGAUGUCCUUGUCGCAGCGGGUCCAGGGGCAGCCGCCGUCCGCCUUGGUCUUCUCGCAGGUGGCCGUGCUGACCUUCUUCUCAACGCAGGUCGCCAUGUUGUUCGUGAUGCUUCCGAUGGCGUCGGUGCACGACGGGUCGGCCUCGUAGAGCCUCGCCUCGUGGGUCUCGCCCACCAUGAGCAUCCUGAUCUUGCCGCUGGUAUCGUCCUUCCAGAAGGUGAGCCCCUCGGGCUGGCCCAUGUUGCACAUCUCGCCGCCGAAGCGCUCGAGGAUCGUGCCGUCGCUGAUCUUGUAUCGGAUGAUGCCCUUCUGGUAGUACUUGGAGCUGCCGUCGCGACCGGUACCCGUGUACGUCUUGGCCAUCAGGAAGAGCUCGUCCGUGGCGUCGCCGCCGCGAGUCAGCCCGCCGAUGGACUUGAGCUGAUACGUGGCAUGCUUCUCGAGGUCACCGGAGAGGUCAGUGUAGGCGGUGGCGCCCGACUCAAGCUUCCAGAGCUUCGCGGGGCUGACCUCCUGCACGGCAUAGUAGGUGGUGCCAAUCUUGGUGACGCCCUCGAAUCCGAGGUUGGACGCCGCCUUCGGGGUGAUACCUUGGACGAGAGUCGUGGCGCCGGAGUAGGUGCCGUCGGUGUUGAGGGUAACCUCGGUGAUCUUGACUGGGUUCUCGUCGGUGAUGGCGAACUUUCGGCCGCCCAGCGCAGAGAUACCCUCGAGGUCGAGGGUGAGGGCCUUGACGUCCCACUUUUGUAUGAGCUUGUUCGGAUACUCGAUCUCGUAGAUCAUGCGAUCGCCGUUGUUCACGGCGAAGAGGG
rnacentral:lncRNA from 1 species